rnacentral:lncRNA from 1 species
GGCAGCAGAAAUUAUUAUACGAAACUACAGCAACAUCCUCCCUCAGCCUCGCACGACACCACCUGCCGCUCAACCUGCAAAAGGUUUUGAAAACAAUUGCAGGGCUGAGUACUAAUAUACUCAGUGGGUUUAGCCAUUUGAAAACAUUUGAAAAUCCAUUUAAAAGAAUAAUCCAUGCUACGAACAGUAUAACAUAGAAAUAUUUGAAAGCAUUCCAUGCAUACUUAAAAUAAAUUUGUGGAUCCAUUUCCAGUCUUCUCUCUAUUGGUGCUUCACCUAUAAUGUGAACAUGUGGGAGCAGCCCACAGAGGUCCACUACCAUGCAUGUUUCAGAAAUGGGAGUAACCCAAGUGUGACAGUCUGAGGCAAGUGGGAGCAGCCCACAAUACCCCUUUGUGUGUACACAAUCCUAACCAGGGCGAUCCAAUCGCUACGCCGGCUAGGACCCGAUCGUUAUAUAACAUAGGAGCACUUUAAACAAUAGAGAUAUAAGAAACAUUUUAACAUGGAUAUUCAUUUGCAUUUGCAUAAUACAAGUAGAGCUCAAUAACUCAAAGCAUACUUUGGGAAAAUAAAACCCACCUUGAUAGGACAAGCCUGUAGAUAAAUGAUGCACAAAUUCUCUUGCCUUGUAAAGCCAAUGCUAAAUUCUUCUAUCAAGUGGACCUACAAGAUAAUCUAAUCUUAAUAUGUCUCAAAAUAUCGCAUGAGCUAACGAUUCUACAAAGCUGCUAAAUCUUAAUAUUCUGCGCCCGGAUUUUCAAGACUCAAUUGAAAAUCUUAAAAGUCGAAAUUAUCAAAAUACUUUAUUGCAUUAUUUACUAUGCAAAUUCAUAUCAUAUCUCAAAAUCACAUAAAAUAAAUAAUUACACUAAAUAAUAAUAAUAAUAAUAUUAAUAAUAAUAAUAAUAAUAAUUAAUCAAACGCAAAUUAUAGAGCUUUAUUAAUAAAUCAACUGAUUAGGGACUUAACUAAAUACUUUAAGUAAAGCAUGAUAUAAAGAAUUUAAAACAGCCUAAAAUCUAAAAAAAAAUAAAAUGAAUGCAGCCCAACUCUUUAAUAAAAUAAGGUCCAUCUCAAAUUAAAAGUAUAGGCCCAAAAUAAUUAAAAACAAACAAGCCCAAAAUUUAAUAGCCCAAUACUAAAAAAAAACCCUAGCCCAUAACUCAUUCCCUUUUAUUAAAAGAAAAUCACACACACACACCCACAAACACACGCACACACACACACACACCACAGACGCACACACACACACCACACGCACUCUCUCUCCCUUUCCCUCUCUCCCUCUCACGCUACUGCCGCCGCCGCCGGACGGAGGCCGGCAGCCGGCCCCUCUCUCUCUUCUCCCAGCCCUCUCUCUUCUCCUCUCUCUCUCUCUUCCCCCAGCCCUCUCUCUCUCCUCUCAUUUCGUCCUCUUCUCCGUCGACGGCAGGGGAAGCCACCGCCGGCGCCGCGUCGACAGCAGCACGGCAGCAGCGGCGUCGCUCCCUCUCUUCUCCUCCUGCUCGCGGCGGGCAGCCACUCCGGAAACAACAGGCCGCCGUGGCGACCGCAGCAGCACUGCUGCCUUCUCUUCUCUUUUCCUCUCGGCCGGGCGAGCAGCAGCACCCCGAAGGACCGCAGCGCCGCCGUCCUCGCCACCACCACCUCCGAUUCUCCCUCUCAAUCUGCCGCUGCUCCCUCUCCCUUCAAACUCCGAUGAGCCACCAGUGCCCGCUGCCUCUCCUUUCCUCCAGAUCCGGGACGCCGUCGCCCUCGCUUCGUCCGACGACAGCACAGCAGUGCCGCCGCCGUGGCAGACGGCCUCCUCCCCCCCUUCUCUUCUCAUUUCCAGCCCAUCAACAAUCCCUAACCCAAAAUCACCUCAAAACCUUCUACCUCAUUCUAACCUUCUAAUUUCUUUGAAAGGUGAAGGAAAAAUUGUAAUCUUUUUCUUAAACAAAAUUCAAUCUUUCUUAUGCAAAAAUUCAGUCUUUUCUUAUGUAAUGGGCAAAACGAUUGAGAAAUAUAUAUAUACUUACAAGUUGUGUUCUUUGUUUUGAGAUGUAUGGUGUAUCAGAUUUUGGUUUUUGAGACAGAACUUUCUUGAAGGGAUGCUUGUGAUUCAAAUGAAUUUCUGGAGAGGAAAGAAAGCUGAUGAUAAUUGGGUUUGCUGUGAAUGAUCUUGAGUUUUGGCAAGUUUACUGUGGAAAGGAAAAUUUGCAUGUGAGAUGAUUGGCUUAAGAAGUGGUGAAUGGUAGAGUGAUACGUGGUUGAAUUUUUGAUGAAUAUGGACAAGUGUCUGCUGCCAAAACAUAAC